rnacentral:rRNA from 1 species
UACGUAGGGCGCAAGCGUUGUUCGGAAUUACUGGGCGUAAAGCGCGUGUAGGCGGGUCUUUAAGUCAGGGGUGAAAUGCCAAGGCUCAACCUUGGAACUGCCUUUGAUACUGGAGACCUUGAGUCCGGGAGAGGUGAGUGGAAUUGCGAGUGUAGAGGUGAAAUUCGUAGAUAUUCGCAAGAACACCAGUGGCGAAGGCGGCUCACUGGCCCGGAACUGACGCUGAGACGCGAAAGCGUGGGGAGCAAACAGG